rnacentral:tRNA from 1 species
GGGUACUGUAACUGGGUAAUGAGCGCCUCGUUCACAUCGAGGAGGUCGGGGGUUCGAAUCCCUCAUCGCCCACCA